rnacentral:rRNA from 1 species
GCCACGGCUAACUCUGUGCCAGCAGCCGCGGUAAUACAGAGGUGGCAAGCGUUGUUCGGAAUUACUGGGCGUAAAGGGCGCGUAGGCGGUCUGCCAAGUCCCGUGUGAAAGCCCUCGGCUCAACCGAGGAACGGCGCGGGAAACUAGCAGGCUUGAGUUCGGGAGAGGGAAGCGGAAUUCCGGGUGUAGCGGUGAAAUGCGCAGAUAUCCGGAGGAACACCGGUGGCGAAGGCGGCUUCCUGGACCGACACUGACGCUGAGGCGCGAAAGCUAGGGGAGCAAACGGGAUUAGAUACCCCGGUAGUCCUAGCCCUAAACGAUGAGCACUGGGUGUAGAGGGUAUGAACCCCUUCUGUGCCGAAGCUAACGCAUUAAGUGCUCCGCCUGGGGAGUACGGUCGCA